rnacentral:rRNA from 1 species
AAGAAAGUAAUAAAGGGCGUAUGGGGGAUGCCUAGGCUCUUGGAGGCGACGAAAGACGUGGUAAGCUGCGAUAAGCCUCGGGGAUUUGCAAACGAGAAUUGAUCCGAGGAUUUCUGAAUGGGACAACCCGCUAGGCAGAAGGCCUAGCACACGAAAGUGGGCCAACCCUCUGAACUGAAACAUCUUAGUAGGAGGAGGAAAAGAAAGAAACAUCGAUUUCCUAAGUAGCGGCGAGCGAACGGGAAGAAGCCUAAACCAUACUUGUUACGGCAAUUAUGGGGUUGUAGGACUGCAAUAUUCAAGUGACUGUCAACUGGAAUGUUCUGGAAAGUUCAUCCGCAGAGAGUGAAAGACUCGUACAGGUAAGCACGUUAUGCGAUAGCAGUAUCCUGAGUAGGGCGGGACACGAGGAAUCCUGUCUGAAUCUGCCGGGACCACCCGGUAAGGCUAAAUACUCCCAAGAGACCGAUAGUGAACCAGUACCGUGAGGGAAAGGUGAAAAGAACCCCGAACAGGGGAGUGAAAUAGAACCUGAAACCAUACGCUUACAACCUGUCGGAGCAGCUUCGUGCUGUGACGGCGUGCCUAUUGAAUAAUGAGCCUACGAGUUACUAAUCACUGGCGAGGUUAAGUGCACGGAUGCACGGAGCCGAAGCGAAAGCGAGUCUUAAUAGGGCGUUUAGUCAGUGGUUGUAGACGCGAAACCUUGCGAUCUACCCUUGAGCAGGUUGAAGGUUGGGUAAAACCAACUGGAGGACCGAACGAAUAAGCGUUGAAAAGCUUCUCGAUGACUUGAGGGUAGGGGUGAAAGGCUAAUCAAGCUGGGAAAUAGCUCGUACUCCCCGAAAUGCCUUUAGGGGCAGCGUUGUAAUAAAGAGUCUACUGGAGGUAGAGCUACUGA